rnacentral:rRNA from 1 species
UUAUAUACCCCUGGGUGUCCACGCUGUAAACGAUGAGUGCUGAAUGUGGGGGCUUUUGCCUCUGUGUUGUAGCUAACGCGUUAAGCACUCCGCCUGGGGACUACGGUCGCAAGACUAAAACUCAAAGGAAUUGACGGGGACCCGCACAAGCGGUGGAGCAUGUGGUUUAAUUCGAUGCAACGCGAAAAACCUUACCACUUCUUGACAUGGAGGCUAGAUCCUUCUUAACAGAAGGGCGCAGUUCGGCUGGGCCUCGCACAGGUGCUGCAUGGCUGUCGUCAGCUCGUGUCGUGAGAUGUUGGGUUAAGUCCCGCAACGAGCGCAACCCUCAUCCUUAGUUACCAGCGGGUAAUGCCGGGCACUUUAAGGAAACUGCCAGUGAUAAACUGGAGGAAGGUGGGGAUGAUGUCAAGUCAGCACGGCCCUUAUGGGGUGGGCUACACACGUGCUACAAUGGCGACUACAAUAGGUUGCAACGUCGCAAGGCUGAGCUAAUCCGUAAAAGUCGUCUCAGUUCGGAUUGUCCUCUGUAACUCGAGGGCAUGAAGUCGGAAUCGCUAGUAAUCGUGGAUCAGCAUGCCACGGUGAAUACGUUCUCGGGUCUUGUACACACUGCAAAAGUUU